rnacentral:rRNA from 1 species
AUUGAACGCUGGCGGAAUGCUUUACACAUGCAAGUCGAACGGCAGCACAGGGGCAAUCCUGGUGGCGAGUGGCGAACGGGUGAGUAAUACAUCGGAACGUGCCUAGUCGUGGGGGAUAACUACGCGAAAGCGUAGCUAAUACCGCAUACGAACUCUGGUUGAAAGCGGGGGAUCGCAAGACCUCGCGCGAUUGGAGCGGCCGAUGGCAGAUUAGGUAGUUGGUGGGGUAAAGGCUCACCAAGCCGACGAUCUGUAGCUGGUCUGAGAGGGCGACCAGCCACACUGGGACUGAGACACGGCCCAGACUCCUACGGGAGGCAGCAGUGGGGAAUUUUGGACAAUGGGCGCAAGCCUGAUCCAGCCAUUCCGCGUGCAGGAUGAAGGCCCUCGGGUUGUAAACUGCUUUUGUACGGAACGAAACGGUGCUCUCUAAUACAGGGCGCUAAUGACGGUACCGUAAGAAUAAGCACCGGCUAACUACGUGCCAGCCGCCGCAGUAA